GCCUGGGUGGCUCAGUCGGUUGAGCGUCUGACUUCAGCUCAGGUCAUGAUCUCAUAGCUUGUGAGUUCGAGCCCCACAUCAGGCU
rnacentral:tRNA from 1 species